rnacentral:misc_RNA from 1 species
GAUGAAGAACGUAGCGAACUGCGAUAAGUAAUGUGAAUUGCAGAAUUCAGUGAAUCAUCGAGUCUUUGAACGCACAUUGCGCCCCCUGGCAUUCCGGGGGGCAUGCCUGUCCGAGCGUCAUUUCUGCCCUUCAAGCCCGGCUUGUGUGUUGGGUCGUCGUCCCCCCCGGGGGACGGGCCCGAAAUGCAGCGGCGGCACCGCGUCCGGUCCUCGAGCGUAUGGGGCUUUGUCACCCGCUCGAUUAGGGCCGGCCGGGCGCCAGCCGGCGUCUCCAACCUUCUAUUUUACCAGGUUGACCUCGGAUCAGGUAGGGAUACCCGCUGAACUUAAGAAUAUCAAUAAGCGGAGGA